rnacentral:rRNA from 1 species
GACGAACGCUGGCGGCGUGCUUAACACAUGCAAGUCGAACGGAAAGGCCCUGCUUUUGUGGGGUGCUCGAGUGGCGAACGGGUGAGUAACACGUGAGUAACCUGCCCUUGACUUUGGGAUAACUUCAGGAAACUGGGGCUAAUACCGGAUAGGAGCUCCUGCUGCAUGGUGGGGGUUGGAAAGUUUCGGCGGUUGGGGGUGGACUCGCGGCUUAUCAGCUUGUUGGUGGGGUAGUGGCUUACCAAGGCUUUGACGGGUAGCCGGCCUGAGAGGGUGACCGGCAACAUGGGGACGGAGAUACGGCCAAGACUCCUACGGGAGGCGAGAGUGGGGAAUAUUGCACAAUGGGCGGAAGCCGGAUGCAGCAACGCCGCGUGCGGGAUGACGGCCUUCGGGUUGUAAACCGCUUUCGCCUGUGACGAAGCGUGAGUGACGGAAAUGGGUAAAGAAGCACCGGCUAACUAGGU